rnacentral:rRNA from 1 species
CAGAGGGUGCGAGCGUUAAUCGGAAUUACUGGGCGUAAAGCGCACGUAGUCGGCUUUGCAAGUCGGGUGUGAAAUCCCCGGGCUCAACCUGGGAACUGCAUCCGAGACUGCAUUGCUAGAGUAUGGGAGAGGGAAGCGGAAUUUCUGGUGUAGCAGUGAAGUGCGUAGAUAUCAGAAGGAACAUCAGUGGCGAAGGCGGCUUCCUGGACCAAUACUGACGAUCAGGUGCGAAAGCGUGGGGAGCAAACAGGAUUAGAUACCCUGGUAGUCCACGCCCUAAACGAUGAGAACUGGAUGUCGGGAGGGUUUGCCUUCCGGUGUCGUAGCUAACGCGUUAAGUUCUCCGCCUGGGAAGUACGGCCGCAAGGUUG